GCGCACCUUCGGGUGAGCGGCGGACGGGUUAGUAACGCGUGGGAACGUGCCCUUCUCUGCGGAAUAGCCUCUGGAAACGGAGAGUAAUACCGCAUACGCCCUUCGGGGGAAAGAAUUUCGGGGAAGGAUCGGCCCGCGUUAGAUUAGGUAGUUGGUGGGGUAACGGCCUACCAAGCCUACGAUCUAUAGCUGGUUUUAGAGGAU
rnacentral:rRNA from 1 species